rnacentral:rRNA from 1 species
UGACCUCGAAUCAGGUAGGACUACCCGCUGAACUUAAGCAUAUCAAUAAGUGGGAGAGACACACGCUCCUCUAUGAACACAUAAAAUAUGUGGAGGACCGGGUCAAUCCCCGGAGGACACGACCAUCCUCCGCGAAAUACUA